CCUUUGAGGUAACCUCAAACCAAAGCUCGCUGUUCCCCGAAGAACAAAGAGAGAGUGAGAACGUUGUGCGGGUGCUUGGGAGCGCUCAGAUGGUCACAAGUCAGGAGGCCUGCUUGGAUUUUGCUGACUUUGCACCAGAAGGGUCUCACCAUGACCGGCAUUGAGGGUGGCGAGUGGCUUUGCCAAGUCAAAGGACUUUGAAGAAGUCACAUAGACCCCGUGGGCUGAUGGAGACUUAGAGACCUCUAGAGCGCAGUCAAGGAAAGUUUCUAUUCCAUAAAAACGUCUUAAGAAUCAUCAAAGGUAACCCUCAGGUACUUUGUGUGUGGCAGCACGGACUUCAUGACCUCAAAGUAGGCAGACCAGAGAGACGCU
rnacentral:lncRNA from 1 species